rnacentral:rRNA from 1 species
UCCUUAACUGACGCUAAAGCUCGAAAGUGCGGGUAUCGAACAGGAUUAGAUACCCUGGUAGUCCGCGCGGUAAACGAUGGAUGCCCGCUGUUGGCGAUAUAUUGUCAGCGGCCAAGCGAAAGCGUUAAGCAUCCCACCUGGGGAGUACGCCGGCAACGGUGAAACUCAAAGGAAUUGACGGGGGCCCGCACAAGCGGAGGAACAUGUGGUUUAAUUCGAUGAUACGCGAGGAACCUUACCCGGGCUUGAACUGCCAGCGAACGAUUCAGAGAUGAUGAGGCCCUUCGGGGCGCUGGUGGAGGUGCUGCAUGGUUGUCGUCAGCUCGUGCCGCGAGGUGUCGGCUUAAGUGCCAUAACGAGCGCAACCCCUUUCUCCAGUUGCCAUCAGGUAGAGCUGGGCACUCUGGAGACACUGCCACCGUAAGGUGUGAGGAAGGUGGGGAUGACGUCAAAUCAGCACGGCCCUUACGUCCGGGGCUACACACGUGUUACAAUGGGUGGUACAGAGAGUCGGUCGCUGGCAAUAGCGAUCCAAUCCUAAAAGCCAUCCUCAGUUCGGAUUGGGGUCUGCAACCCGACCCCAUGAAGCUGGAUUCGCUAG